CCUUAAAUGGGGGAGGAAAAACCAUUAAAAGUGGGAGACAUCAUUCGAAAGUUUUCGAGUCAGUCGGAUUUGACCACGGACAGCAAACCUCAAACUACACAGUACAGGAAAAAUCCAUCGGCUCAUGAAUCUCCUGCACAGACGUCUCAAGUG